UGGCGGCAGGCUUAACACAUGCAAGUCGAGCGGUAGCAGAUCUAGCUUGCUAGAUGCUGACGAGCGGCGGACGGGUGAGUAACGCGUAGGAACCUGCCCAGUAGUGGGGGAUAGCCCGGGGAAACUCGGAUUAAUACCGCAUACGCUCUACGGAGGAAAGAGGGGGCUUCGGCUCUCGCUAUUGGAUGGGCCUGCGUGAGAUUAGCUAGUUGGUGAGGUAAUGGCUCACCAAGGCGACGAUCUCUAGCUGGUCUGAGAGGAUGAUCAGCCACACUGGGACUGAGACACGGCCCAGACUCCUACGGGAGGCAGCAGUGGGGAAUAUUGCACAAUGGGCGCAAGCCUGAUGCAGCCAUGCCGCGUGUGUGAAGAAGGCUUUCGGGUUGUAAAGCACUUUCAGUAGGGAGGAAGGCCUCGUAGUUAAUAGCUGCGAGGAUUGACGUUACCCACAGAAGAAGCACCGGCUAACUCCGUG
rnacentral:rRNA from 1 species